UGGGGAAUAUUGCACAAUGGGCGAAAGCCUGAUGCAGCGACGCCGCGUGAGGGAUGACGGCCUUCGGGUUGUAAACCUCUUUCAGCAGGGAAGAAGCGAAAGUGACGGUACCUGCAGAAGAAGCGCCGGCUAACUACGUGCCAGCAGCCGCGGUAAUACGUAGGGCGCAAGCGUUGUCCGGAAUUAUUGGGCGUAAAGAGCUCGUAGGCGGUUAGUCGCGUCUGCUGUGAAAACUCGAGGCUCAACCUCGGGCUUGCAGUGGGUACGGGCUGACUAGAGUGCGGUAGGGGUGACUGGAAUUCCUGGUGUAGCGGUGGAAUGCGCAGAUAUCAGGAGGAACACCGAUGGCGAAGGCAGGUCACUGGGCCGCAACUGACGCUGAGGAGCGAAAGCAUGGGGAGCGAACAGGAUUAGAUACCCUGGUAGUCCAUGCCGUAAACGUUGGGCACUAGGUGUGGGUCCAUUCCACGGAUUCCGUGCCGCAGCAAAGCGCAUUAAGUGCCCCGCCUGGGGAGUACGGCCGCAAGGCUAAAACUUAAAGGAAUUGACGGGGUCAUAGCUG
rnacentral:rRNA from 1 species